CCCGCCACUACUCCGGUCUGACGGUGACUGAGUGUAAUCCAGUGGAGGCUCAGAUUGACCCGGCUUUAGGAAACAGGGUUGUUCAGACCAGUGGGCGACUCUGUGCCGAUAAGACUGGAACACAA